UUGCUUUCUUUGCUGACGAGCGGCGGACGGGUGAGUAAUGCCUGGGAAUAUGCCUUAGUGUGGGGGAUAACUAUUGGAAACGAUAGCUAAUACCGCAUAACGUCUUCGGACCAAAGAGGGGGACCUUCGGGCCUCUCGCGCUAAGAUUAGCCCAGGUGGGAUUAGCUAGUUGGUGAGGUAAAGGCUCACCAAGGCAACGAUCCCUAGCUGGUCUGAGAGGAUGAUCAGCCACACUGGAACUGAGACACGGUCCAGACUCCUACGGGAGGCAGCAGUGGGGAAUAUUGCACAAUGGGGGAAACCCUGAUGCAGCCAUGCCGCGUGUAUGAAGAAGGCCUUCGGGUUGUAAAGUACUUUCAGUCGUGAGGAAGGCAUUGUAGUUAAUAGCUGCAGUGCUUGACGUUAGCGACAGAAGAAGCACCGGCUAACUCCGUGCCAGCAGCCGCGGUAAUACGGAGGGUGCGAGCGUUAAUCGGAAUUACUGGGCGUAAAGCGCAUGCAGGCGGUCUGUUAAGCAAGAUGUGAAAGCCCGGGGCUCAACCUCGGAACCGCAUUUUGAACUGG
rnacentral:rRNA from 1 species